rnacentral:rRNA from 1 species
GGGGAAUAUUGGGCAAUGGGGGCAACCCUGACCCAGCAACGCCGCGUGAAGGAAGAAGGCCUUCGGGUUGUAAACUUCUUUGACCAGGGACGAAGAACGUGACGGUACCUGGAAAACAAGCCACGGCUAACUACGUGCCAGCAGCCGCGGUAAUACGUAGGUGGCAAGCGUUGUCCGGAUUUACUGGGUGUAAAGGGCGAGUAGGCGGGACUGCAAGUCAGAUGUGAAAUCUGGGGGCUUAACCCUCAAACUGCAUUUGAAACUGUGGUUCUUGAGUAUCGGAGAGGCAGGCGGAAUUCCUAGUGUAGCGGUGAAAUGCGUAGAUAUUAGGAGGAACACCAGUGGCGAAGGCGGCCUGCUGGACGACAACUGACGCUGAGGCGCGAAAGCGUGGGGAGCAAACA